UUUAAAUUGCUGUGGUAUUUUGACUAUACGAAGGUAUUGAAAUAAGGCUUUAAUUGGGUGCUAAGAGAAUGGUUGGACAAAGAUUAACUUUCUUUUUAUUUAUAAUAGAAUUUGAUUUAAAAAUGAAAAAGUUUUUAUAAAAAUUUGGGACAAGAAGACCCUAUGAAUUUUUUUUAGAAUUUUAUUUAUAAUUUUUGAUUAAUGGAGUUAAAUGGAGUUUUAAGUUGAUUGGGGUGAUUUUUAAAGAAUGUUUAUCUUUAAAAGUAGGGAUUAGAACCAAGAUUCUUGGUUGAUUGAGUAAAAUACUCUAGGGAUAACAGCGUUAUUAUUUUGGAUAGUUCAUAUAGAUAAAAUAGUUUGCGACCUCGAUGUUGGAUUAAGAUACUUUUUUAAUGUAGUCGUUAAAGGAAGGAGUUUGCUCAACUUUUGAAAUCUUACUUGAUC
rnacentral:rRNA from 1 species